UGCCAGCCGCCGCGGUAAUACGAAGGGGGCGAGCGUUGUUCGGAAUUACUGGGCGUAAAGCGUACGUAGGCGGUUAAGCAAGUUAGAAGUGAAAGCCCAGGGCUCAACCUUGGAAUUGCUUUUAAAACUGCUUGGCUAGAAUCUCGGAGAGGAUAGCGGAAUUUCCAGUGUAGAGGUGAAAUUCGUAGAUAUUGGAAGGAACACCAGUGGCGAAGGCGGCUAUCUGGACGAGUAUUGACGCUGAGGUACGAAAGCGUGGGGAGCAAACAGGAUUAGAUA
rnacentral:rRNA from 1 species